ACCUGGCUAGCUCAGUUGGUAGAGCAUGUGACUCUUGAUCUUAGUGUUGUGAGUUCAAGCCACAUGUUAGGUG
rnacentral:tRNA from 1 species